UUCGCCCCUGCCUUGGGAACAGUCAUACUCAGAACCCCAUUCUCCAAUGGGAACAGUCACACUCAGAACCCCAUUCUCCAUUGCAACCCUAAUCUCCUCUACCUUCGCAUUCUCUGGAAGCUGAAAUCUCCUCAAGAACUUGCUGCUGCUGCGCUCCACUCUGUGCCAUUUGUCGUUCUUGUCCACCUUCUCUACAUUCCUCUCUCCAUUGAUCUGAAGUGCCGUCCUCGAGCUCCACCUUCACCUCUUCUUUCUUCAGCCCCAGAAGGUCUGCCUUGA
rnacentral:lncRNA from 1 species